AAGAAGGACAUUACACGUUUCCCAUUCUUUUGUUCUAACCUGCCCGAGCAAAUGGACCAGAAAACAUACCAACUCAAUCUAAUAUUGCUACCCAUGUCACUUAAAUUUUAGCCCAUUUAUGACCCAAGUCUAUUUUAUACCUUCGUCUUCUCCAAUCCCUUUCUCGCACCGCCCUAGUGAUAACACCUCUGUAACGUUUGUCCUCUUCAUUCAACCUUCUCAUUAAGCGUCUCCAUUUACUCUCUCCGCCAUCUCUCCCACUACGUUCAAUUUAAUGACCCUUUCCAACCUCACUCUUGAAAUCCCCAAUUUCUGAGAUUAUAAAUAAGUGAUAUUGCAGACGUCUAAAAAGUGUGUUCCAACUUCCUCCGACAUCCAUCACUUGAGUUUAAAUACUUUUUGGUAUGACUACUUCCUUGGUUUUUUUACUGGAUUUCGGUUUGUUUUCCGGUGGUUUCGCGGGGGAUCAUCACUUGAGUUUAAGGAUUCUUCUAAAUAAAACUUGGAUUCGUAAUUUGGCUAUUUGAGCAAAAAAGAUAUGAAGACUGAAGAAAUAAUUAACGUCAAUCAUCUAAUAUUUUCUUGCACUACGCAUUUGUUGCUAACAGAGCUAUAUUCAUGUUCUUCUCUUUGUGCUUCUUUAUGUUGAUCCAGAGUACAAAGACUAUGGAGGGGCCAGGUCCUGAUGCACGCAGAAGCAACAAAGAUGGUGCUUUUGAUAUUUUCCAGUUGGCUACGUUGAGGCAUAAACUACUUGCAGAAAAGGUAGCAAGAUGUAACAAGGUGACGGGCAAGUGACACAUAUCAGCUCUCUCUGAUGGGUUAUGACCGAGAGUGUAUUAAGAUUAAGAGGACGUAGCGCCGUCUUUGACUCCAUGGGUGCGGGAUGGGCAAUGUCACCAGGUGAUAUAGCUUUAAAGAUCUGGCUGAAUAGGUUUUCUAAGCUUCAUCUCAACUUCUCAUCAGCCCCUCCAUCAUUUACCAAACAGAUUUAUGGGCCUACCAAAAAUAGACAAGCUGAAACGUUUCUGCAGCCUUUUUGCCAUUUCUGCUACUCUUCGUUUACAUGUACAGCCUGGUCGGAGUUGGAGAACAGAGUUAGCAGCUGCAAAUAAUGAAGGAAGCUGAGAGCUUGACUUCUUGAAUGACAUCGACCUUGAUUUUCAAGUUAUGAUUUCUAUGCCUUUUGUUCAAAAUAAAAUAUAACUAAAUAGUGUGAUCUUUUCUAUUUUUUUACUACUUAGUAGCCAUGAUCAAGGAUUUCCAAAGAGUUUUUUUUUUAUCUUAAGAACUUCAAUGUAAUGUAAUAUUUUUAUCCAUUACUCUAUUCAAACUUUCUUUACUUUUUUUUUUUAA